rnacentral:lncRNA from 1 species
UAAGGUUGCGGGGAGACGAAGCUCUUUUCGUUUGUAUAUUUUAUUUACGUGACCAUAUUUUUGUUUUAUGUUAAAAAAAAGAAUCAAAUAACCAGUUAUCUUGUUUUGGGGAACCAGUUUUUGUCGUUCACCUUCGGGAUUCGUUCGUUGUGAACGAAUCGGUCGCGACCGACUAAUCCUUAAUGGCCACCAUUGAACGAGCAAUGGGCGUGUCUGGCAGAGCAAUGGGCGUGUUUGGCAAGUGGCUCCGGCUGCAGAUAGACCCUACUCAUCCUGGGGGCCUGUUCGAUCCACACUUCACGAUUAGCCCUAUACUUAUUUUCGCCGGAUCUGAAUUGGAACGUACUGCGUACUCAAAUGUUGGCUAGUAAGUACGGACAGUACGGGUAUUGGAACACGGCAGAAGGGGCGGGACUUCGCCCAAGUUUUCCCGCUUCUUCUCAGUUUGGGGCCGAAUCAACUGAACAAUAGAAUCUCGGAUCUCCAUUUUUGUGCCAUUCAAGUGCAUGUGACGAUUGAUCUGGACUCAAGCUGUAGGCCUACCAGUCAGAUGAGUAACUCAGUGGAGGAGGAGGACUUUGCGGAUAUCAGGGCCUACUUUUCCACAACAAAAUGGAACCGCCUCUGUAUGGCGGAGAAAAAAAGAUUCCUGCAGAUCAAGGAAAACCAUUUGGUUAUGUCGUCUCUUGGCCUGUCCUUUGUGGCUCCAGCCUUCAUGAGGAGAGAGAUGCCCGGCCAGGUGAGAGUCUGCUCACCUGAAGAGACAGACUCUGAGGAGGAGCAGCUCUGGACCUCUGGAUUGACCGGUACAAAGACAUUUACAAAACAUUUCUGGAAGGGGUAAUGUGCAGUGAACAUUAUCCCUUUCAAAGCCCUGAAGAUACAUUAGC